UUGCUCCGGCAGUACAUAUACUAAAAUUGGAACGAUACAGAGAAGAUGAGCAUGACCCCUGCGCACGGAUGACACGCAAAUUCUCUCACUCUCUCUGUCUUC